rnacentral:lncRNA from 1 species
AAUUGACUAAAGAGCAAUACCUAUUAACAAGAUAAGGUGGAGAUUUUAUCACCCUUUCUUAGCCCAAAAACAAUCAACCAGCAUCCCGCAUUAAUCUAAGCCUAAUUAAAACUAAAUUUACAUUGGCCCUUAGGAUCAAUUGAGUUCAGUUUGAGUCUUAUGGUGAAAUUAAGUGCAAAGUAAAUUUGAACUCAUCCCUAAAACUGAUGUCUAAGAAAAGAGAUUAGAAAGGCUAAGCCUAAGUGAACUUGUGGUUAUUUAAUUAGAUCCAUUGCGAUUAGCAUGGGGAGCCUCCCAUGACCCCACC